CUUUAAAAUUAGUUUUAAAAUUAUAAACAGUUUUCAGAUUCACAAAGUAGUUUUACUAACGCACAAGUAUCAACACAAAAAGAGAAUGAAACUGAUAACAACAGCGUGUGCUCUAGCAUUUCUAAACUUUAUCACAGGAAGUCUUUCAGCAAAGUGUGCAAUUAAAUACAAAAAGGUUGGCUGUUUUAAAGACCGUAUUGUUGUGGACGAUUCAUUGUCAACAGAACUAACAAAUGGCAGUGAGCCUGAAAAUCGUAUUUGGGAUUUAAAUACUUUAGAGUGGAAGGAAUGGUCGGAGUCACU
rnacentral:lncRNA from 1 species